AGUUCAAAAUUUCCCACUCCAAAGUCGAAACCACAACCGAACACAUAUAACGUCCCUUCUCUGCUCUGUUUGUUCUGUUCUUUCCUUUUCCUCUCAAUUUUAUUUGUAUCCAGCGUAAUUAUCGCCGUUCACUUCUAUAAAAAUCGCUUCUAUGGUUUCCUCACCCAGAAAUUAGGGUUUUCGCAGUCGCAUUUUUACAACUUUCUCUCCAUCUCCAUAUCUCUCUCCCUCAUUUUCCUGGAAAGUUUUGGGAGAGAUAUUGAUGGACUCGCGACCCACAUCACUAUAAACUUCUUUCUCAUUUUCCCGAGAAAAUUAAGGGAGGGAAGAAGGGAGAGAAAGGGAGAAAUUGAGACAAAAUUGCAGAAUCAAUUAACGAUACCUUACCUUUUCCCUAAUAUCUCAACAGAGACAAAAAGGAAAGCCAAGGAAUCGACUCGUGUUAAUGAUGCUUUCCUCUGGUUUUAUCCUCUGAAGCUAAAAACGAAAAUUUCAUUCGCUUUUUCCGGCAAGUAACGUAUAUAGAAAUGGAGGAUGUAUCAGCUUUCUUCAGAUGAACGAAUAGGACAAAUUUUGAUACAAUUUUGAUUUUGUGUGAAAUGCUGAUUUAAGGACCUCAUAAUUUUCUCUGAGAAGGGGCAAAGAAUAUGGAUUUCGACAUGGACGAAUUUUAUAUUGAGCCUUUUUUGGCUGAAGAAAUCGAUAUUGAUUACGAGUUUGAUGCAGCUAAGUACUACGAUUUCACCCGGCCAGAAACCGAUUUCGAGGCACAAGAAGCUGAGCGCUGGUUUGAAACCACAGGAUAUUGUCCUCCCUCUCCUUUCAUUAUAAAGCUGAAUUGGGAACCAAGCAUUCCAGUGAAAGGUGGAAAUUCCUCUUUUAUUCGUAGAGAUGCUGAAAACAUCAAUCCCACCAGCGCUGACUUGUCUACCAGUAUGGACUCUGAAGCAACUUCAGCAGAUAAUAACUCGGGAUUAGAAUCAUAUAAUGAAGCCAGAUCGCCAACCAAGUCACGUCUAUUAAAAAAUUUAAAUUUCAUGAAUCCCACUGCAAGUCUGUUGGCCAGGCAAAAUUGCCCUUUGCAAAUUCAUUGUGACCGAUUGCUCAGAAGAUCUCAGAAGUUGGUUAAAAAUGAGGAGAAUAGGUUUCAGAAGUUGGUAAGAAAAGAGGAGAGGAGUUCUCGGAAUUCUUCUAUGAACGGAACCCAGGCUACCAAAAGGCAAAAGCUCGAGGCCGGUUAUUCAUGCAAGGUUGCUCGUUUGAAGCAUCAAGCUCUUCUUUUACACAAGGCACCUAAAAAGGUUGGACUACUUGACGUUCGUACAGCAUUUGCUAAACCUAAAGUUACAGUUCCCAGAGAACCUAAUCUGGAAACAGCUCUUAGGGCAGAAAGACAUAGGUCCAAGAUUAAUUUGGAGUCGGCUGAAAAUGCAAAAUCAAAUGCUUCUACCUUUAGAGCAAGACCCUUGAAUAAAAAAAUUCUUGAGGCUCCUUCAUGUCCCCUCGCUAAAAAGAGCACUCCACAACUGCCAGAAUUUCAAGUGUUUCAUUUGAGGACAUCAGAGAGGGCUCUGCAACAUGCAUCUGUUAACGCAGCAAAUGCACCGAAUUCUAGCCCCACUCAACAUAAUGAAACUAUAAGCUCUAGAAGAGUAACCCCUGCUGCCGCCUUGAAGGAGAAAUUGGAAGCACUUGAUAAAUUUAAAGCUCGUUCUCUUUAUAAAAAGGAAUGUAAUUUCCCAAAUGAUAAAAGAUUCUCAAAUGAGCCACCAAUAGAAGCAUUUAGUAAGCUCUUCCUAACAUCUGAAGACUCCAAUGCAAUACAUCGGUCAAAAACGCCACUGCAUCCAAAGGGCUCAAAGGAGAAUGCACCAGCUUCUUUCCAUCCAGGACAUAAGGUAUGAUGAUGAAGAAUGUCGCCAAAUCGCAAUGGCUUUGUGGCAAACAUUUUCAAUGUGGGAGCAAUAGGACGGUUCCUUCAAUGGUACCACAAAUCAACAGGAGCUUGGACAUACGUUAGCGGCGGUGCAGAACAAAUCCUGGCAACGCUCUAAAUUGUUGAGUUGUAAAGAACGAUUACAGAUGCCCAUCCCAAACAAAUAGGCUGUACGUGUUCAGUAGCUUCAACAGGAAAUAAUAUUUUAUUCACACCCACAGAUAAAAGGGAAUCUGAUCACAGAAUUUUGGAGACAAAGUGUACAGUAUUCAUGUUAAAGUUCCUGUCGGCGAUUGCUUUUCCUUGUACACAAUUAUAUUCCAUUUUCCUCGAGGUUUACCCGAUGGUUAAGACAUGGAAAUUGUAGACCAAACGCAAUAGUGAAACGGAUUAACAUGCCCAUAGACGGGCCGGCUAUCAUCAACA